CUCCUCGUAGUUCAAUGGAUAGAACGAGUGCCUCCUAAGCGCUAAAUACAGGUUCGAUUCCUGUCGAGGGGA
rnacentral:tRNA from 1 species